CAGUAGCCGCGGGAAUACAGAGGGUGCGAGCGUUAAUCGGAUUUACUGGGCGUAAAGCGUGUGUAGGUUGUUGUUCAAGUCAGUUGUGAAAUCCCUGGGCUCAACCUGGGAACUGCUUCUGAGACUGAACGACUAGAGUACGGUAGAGGGUGGUGGAAUUUCCGGUGUAGCGGUGAAAUGCGUAGAUAUCGGAAGGAACAUCAAUGGCGAAGGCAGCCACCUGGGCCUGUACUGACACUGAGACACGAAAGCGUGGGGAUCAAACAGGAUUAGAUACCCGCGUAGUCCCUGUCUCUUAUAA
rnacentral:rRNA from 1 species